rnacentral:rRNA from 1 species
UACGUAGGGUGCGAGCGUUAAUCGGAAUUACUGGGCGUAAAGCGUGCGCAGGCGGUGAUGUAAGACAGAUGUGAAAUCCCCGGGCUCAACCUGGGAACUGCAUUUGUGACUGCAUCGCUGGAGUGCGGCAGAGGGGGAUGGAAUUCCGCGUGUAGCAGUGAAAUGCGUAGAUAAUGCGGAGGAACACCGAUGGCGAAGGCAAUCCCCUGGGCC